rnacentral:rRNA from 1 species
UACAGAGGGGGCAAGCGUUAUUCGGAAUUACUGGGCGUAAAGGGCUCGUAGGCGGCCAACUAAGUCAGACGUGAAAUCCCUCGGCUUAACCGGGGAACUGCGUCUGAUACUGGAUGGCUUGAGUCUGGGAGAGGGAUGCGGAAUUCCAGGUGUAGCGGUGAAAUGCGUAGAUAUCUGGAGGAACACCGGUGGCGAAGGCGGCAUCCUGGACCGACACUGACACUGAGGAGCGAAAGCCAGGGGAGCAAACGGG